rnacentral:rRNA from 1 species
GGCGACGGGUGAGUACACGUGGGUGAUCUGCCUCGCACUUCGGGAUAAGCCUGGGAAACUGGGUCUAAUACCGGAUAUGACCUGCUGUCGCAUGGCGGUGGGUGGAAAGAUUUAUCGGUGCGAGAUGGGCCCGCGGCCUAUCAGCUUGUUGGUGGGGUAAUGGCCUACCAAGGCGACGACGGGUAGCCGGCCUGAGAGGGCGACCGGCCACACUGGGACUGAGACACGGCCCAGACUCCUACGGGAGGCAGCAGUGGGGAAUAUUGCACAAUGGGCGAAAGCCUGAUGCAGCGACGCCGCGUGAGGGAUGACGGCCUUCGGGUUGUAAACCUCUUUCGACAGGGACGAAGCGCAAGUGACGGUACCUGUAGAAGAAGCACCGGCCAACUACGUGCCAGCAGCCGCGGUAAUACGUAGGGUGCGAGCGUUGUCCGGAAUUACUGGGCGUAAAGAGCUUGUAGGCGGUUUGUCGCGUCGUCCGUGAAAACUUGGGCUCACCCCAAGCUGCGUCGU